CCUAUGGGUGGCAGCAGUGAGGAAUAUUGGUCAAUGGGCGCGAGCCUGAACCAGCCAAGUCGCGUGAGGGAAGACGGUCCUAUGGAUUGUAAACCUCUUUUGUCGGGGAGCAAAAGACGCCACGCGUGGCGUUCCGAGAGUAACCGAAGAAAAAGCAUCGGCUAACUCCGUUCCAGCAGCCGCGGUAAUACGGGGGAUGCGAGAGGUAUCCGGAUUUAUUGGGUCAAAAGGGUGCGCGGGCGGCAGAUCAAGUCAUCGGUAAAAUUGAGAGGCUCAACCUCUUCGAGCCGUUGAAACUGGUUUGCAUGAGGGAGCGAGAAGUAUGCGGAAUGCAUGGUGUAGCGGUGAAAUGCAUAGAUAGCACGAAGAACGCCGAUUGCGAAGGCAGCAUACCGGCGCUCAACUGACGCUCAUGCACGAAAGUGUGGGUAUCGAACAGGAUUAGAGACCCCUGUAGUC
rnacentral:rRNA from 1 species